AUAAAAGCUCUCGUUUAGGGCUUCCGAGGUUCGCCAUCACUGUCCUCUUCUCUUCUUCCUUUUGGCCUCUCCUCUUCCGAUCUCUCUCUCUAUCUCUAUCUCUAUCUAGGGUUUCCAUUUCUUCAUGCUUUCAUCUUGAUCUUUGUGGGAUUUCGAGGGAGAUUCAAGCUAGUAGCUGGGUAUGUGACAAUGCCGGCGACGGACUACCAGGGCUCGUCGUCGCCGUUCGCGUCGAUUGGGCGGUCCAUCCUUAGCAUACGACGAGAUCAGGUGCACUCCAUGGAUAGUCACCAUGAGCAUGGCUCUAGCCAAGAGAAGGAGCUUGACGGAUUCCAACGCCAUGCUGCUGAUCUCCUCCUUGACCUCGCCGGCGGAGGUGGCGGUGGAGAGGAGCUCUUGUCGCUGCCGUGGAUUCGCAAGCUAUUGAAUGUGUUCGUGAUUUGCCAAGAAGAGUUCCGAGUGAUUCUCUUCAACAAUCGCGCUUGUGUUAGCCGUGCCCCCGUCGAUCGCCUCAUCUCUGAGUUCUUUGAGCGCAACGUCAAAGCCCUAGACGUUUGCAACGCCAUCCGUGAUGGGAUCGAGCAGGUGCGGCAAUGGCACAAACACCUUGAGAUCGUCACCGUCGCGCUUGACCCUAGUCUCAGGACUAUUGGCGAAGGCCAGCUCCGGCGGGCCAAGAAAGCCCUGGCUGACCUCGCCGUCGGGAUGCUUGAAGAGAAAGACGUUGCUGGGUCUGCCCUCGCACAUCGCAAUCGCAAUCGCUCCUUCGGCCGGAGCAAUCAUGCGUCGUCAAGCCGGGACCACCAUCGUCACCCUGGAGGUCACUUCCGGUCUCUCUCAUGGAGCGUGUCUCGGUCCUGGUCCGCUGCAAGGCAGCUCCAGGCCAUUGGGAACAACCUGUCCGCUCCUCGCGGGCAUGAGAUCGUCGCAAGCAAUGGGCUUGCUGUGCCAGUGUUCACAAUGAGCUCGGUGCUUCUCUUUGUUAUGUGGGCUCUUGUUGCAGCGAUCCCUUGCCAAGAUCGCGGCCUCCAAACCCAUUUCUCCUUCUCCCGUAGCUUCUCAUGGGCGUCUCCGAUCCUUUCCAUGCAUGAGAGGAUCAUGGAGGAGUCCAAGAAGAGGGAGAGGAAGAACUCUAAUGGAUUGUUGAAGGAAAUUCAUCAAAUUGAGAAGUGUGCCAGGCAAUUGUCUGAAUUGAUGGACGCUGCUCACUUUCCUUUACCAGUGAAUAAGGAGAUGGAAAUAAGGCAGGUGACUCAGGAAUUAACCCAAAUUGUCAAUACUAUGCGGGAAGAGUUGGACUUGCUGGAACGCCAGGUGAGGGAGGUGUUCCAUAGGAUCAUUCGUAGCCGAACUGAAGGGUUGAGAAGAAAUGAAUGAUGAGAUGAAUUAAGAUGAAGCAUUGGAAUCCAUCGACUAAGGUUUAUGCAGGGACCAGGCUAGUGUAUAUGUCAAUAAAGAUCAUCUAUUGGGAGGCGGGGGAAGAAUAUCAAAUGUUCAAUCAAAGCAGGGGAGAAGUUAAUUAAUGGUGGUUCUCCUAUCAAAUUAAUUAGUAUCCCUGGAUACGUUUAUUUCUGAUAUUAUUUGGAAUGGUUGAUGUGCUUUUUGACUUGCUUGUCCCAUAUGCUGAGUGUUGGCUAGGGUCAUAUCAUAUUUCUUAUUGCUUGCUUCCAUCUCAAGUAUAAAGGUAACGUUUACAGACUAACAAUCUUGUGUAGGUACCUGGUAGGUAAAUGAAAAGGACUAGAAGCCCAAA